rnacentral:rRNA from 1 species
UACGGGGGGGGCAAGCGUUGUCCGGAUUUACUGGGCGUAAAGAGCGCGCAGGCGGUCGUUCAAGUCGCGUGUGAAAGCCCCCGGCUCAACUGGGGAGGGUCACGCGAUACUGAUCGACUGGAAGGCAGGAGAGGGUAGUGGAAUUCCCGGUGUAGUGGUGAAAUGCGUAGAUAUCGGGAGGAACACCAGUGGCGAAGGCGACUACCUGGCCUGUUCUUGACGCUGAGGCGCGAAAGCUAGGGGAGCAAACGGG